GAUCAACGCUGGCGGCGUGCCUAAUACAUGCCAGUCGAGCGAACAGACGAGGAGCUUGCUCCUCUGACGUUAGCGGCGGACGGGUGAGUAACACGUGGAUAACCUACCUAUAAGACUGGGAUAACUUCGGGAAACCGGAGCUAAUACCGGAUAAUAUAUUGAACCGCAUGGUUCAAUAGUGAAAGACGGUUUUGCUGUCACUUAUAGAUGGAUCCGCGCCGCAUUAGCUAGUUGGUAAGGUAACGGCUUACCAAGGCAACGAUGCGUAGCCGACCUGAGAGGGUGAUCGGCCACACUGGAACUGAGACACGGUCCAGACUCCUACGGGAGGCAGCAGUAGGGAAUCUUCCGCAAUGGGCGAAAGCCUGACGGAGCAACGCCGCGUGAGUGAUGAAGGUCUUCGGAUCGUAAAACUCUGUUAUUAGGGAAGAACAAAUGUGUAAGUAACUAUGCACGUCUUGACGGUACCUAAUCAGAAAGCCACGGCUAACUACGUG
rnacentral:rRNA from 1 species